AUCCGACACACCCCGCCCCAAACCCCAGCCGCAUCAACGCCACCAGCCUCAUCCGUUCUCCUCGCCCCAUCCGCAUCCGCCGCCAGCGGCCGAAUGUCGCGCAGGCCAACCUCGCGCCCCAUCCGCAUCCGCCACAUGCCACACAUGUCCAACAUCGCCAGCCUCGUCCGGGAGCCAUGAGCAACCUCCCACUCCCCACCAACACGCCUUCGCCUCACCUCGUGAUGCCCGGGACCUGCAGCAGUCGCCGCCUCCCCUGAGCGUCUGAGAUGCAGCUCCACGCUCAUCUGCGUCCCCCGCCGCAGGAGCCACGUUGUGCCUGCCGCCAGCCCCGACACCUCCAGAUGUUGCCUCCAUCCAUCCUCCGAGCUUACCGCCUCGCCCCCGCCCCCAAACCCUAGACCCCCUACAAUCACGAGGAAGGGGAGAACGGCCGAGGAGGAUGCUCCGCAAGGAAGGGGAGGACGGUCGAGGAUGACGUUGUUGCUCGUCGCUGAGCAUCUUCGCGCCCUCAGUGCUGCCAAGGAGCCCUCUCUAUCCCUGAUGGCGUCCCAACCGUUGGUAAUAUCUCCGCCUCGGCCAUGGGCAUUGCAACCCUCGAUUCAAUCUCUCCUCUUCGAUCUCAGGCCGAUCGUCGGCGAUGAUGACCCAGCCUCCCUCUCCACGUCCCUGCUCCCCAACUCAUACAGGUGUUGUGGCGCCCUCCUCUCCACUCCCCUAUCUAUUUUGUUGUUUGAUGUCUACUUUCUUCGCCGCUCUGGUUGCGGCACGAUUGGUGCACCACCUCCUCGUGCGAGGUGAGGGCAAGCCUGCACAUGCUCAACUCCAUCGACAACCUCACCUUCAUGCCACUCUGGGAGCAUGCCGAGUGGCGAUGUGACGACUUGGUGGUCUAUCGUCGUUGCCCUUCGCCAGGUGUCGAUCUCUUCGUCAGUGAAGAGCAUCCACCAGUUCCAUUCAUUCAUUUAUUAUAUGGUGAAUGGCCACAAAACCAUAUUCUAUGAUGGCACAAGGUCCCACCAAGAUGCGUAGCCAUGUGCAAACCAUAUUUGUCAUGUAGCCACAAGGGCCCGUCGAUCUGUUUUGGUUUACAAUGUGGAUGAAAACAACAUGGAGCUCUGGCUUAUGGGGGCUUAUCGAUGCCAGCGAAGCCCGUGGGAGCAAUUGAAGCCAUUGGACAUUGGUUGCACAACUUGAUAAAGUGAAGAAUCUGCUUGCGUCUGAGUUUGGGAGUCUAUAAACAUGGGGAAGAGAAAAUAUUGGUGCCUUUGCAAUUGGUGACCCUGCUGCAACUAUUUUUUUCUAGGAAUUCACAAGAGCAAUAUGGUACACCAAUGCCACACAUUGGACAAACAACAGUUGAAGUUGAUCUUUUGAAUUAUGGUGUGAUAGAAGGUGAUGAAUCAUGUAAACAUUUCUCUGAACUAAAAGUCUUACAUCCAUGGAUGAUCAAAGAUGGCAUGAAUCUUACAAAGGAACAGAGAUUAGAGAAAAUUGAGUCACAAAAACUUGAAAAAUAUGAAGCCAAAGGUGACAAGAGACAUGACUUGAAAGAUGAUCAAAGUGUACAGGAAGAAUACAUAAAUGCAUAUUAUGAGGCCUUGAGGAAAAGUUGGAAGAGGAAGAAGCAAAAAGCAGAAUGCAGCAUGAAGGCAAGAUUUUUGUCCCUGAUGCUCAAAGGGAACGCCAAGUUGACAAUAAAUACAAGCAGGAUGAUGAUGAAGAAGGCAUUGAAUAAGUAUUCCAGCUUUCUUAUAUGGACAGUAGGAACCCAAGGUUUGCUGUGUAAUCCAUUAUCAACAGUUGCACUCACAUUAGCCUUGUGGCGAUUCUUUUCAAAACAGGAUGAUUUAAACCCAUAUGUUGUUCCAAUGGCUAUGGGCAUUUAACGUCAACUAGAGAGUCCCUUGGAUAUGACUACAAGUACUAUCAUCAGGAGGAUUGUUGCUAACCAUGAAGCUUACCUGUGUAUUGUCAGCUUUCAAACUCGAUGAACCAACUGAGAAAGUACUGCUUAUGAAGCUAGAGAAGCAUGGAAGGAGUGUUGCUGAAUCAAAGGCAAAAGAAGAAGCUGGAAGAGUUUUGAUUUGCAUGAAGGAUAGGUCCUCGACACAGUUCAGCAGAGAUGCUGGCUCUAUGCCCAAGGUGUGGACAGGAAAGGAGGACAUAAAAGCCAUAACUAAAACUGUUCGCUCAGUUGUACGCCAGAUGCUAAUAUUUAAUACUCUAUAUAUAGAAUACUGUUGAAGACGCUUCUAAAGCACUAGAGUAUUGUAGCACUGAUGGAAGGCCUUCGAUGAAAUGUUUCCCUGAAAGUUGCAUACUACAUCGCUGAAGCACUACAAUAUUGUAACACUGAGGGAAGGCCUUUGUAUCAUGACCUAAAUUCAUAUAGGGCCCUCUUUGAUGAGGUAAUUGUUGCUUUGGUUUUCACUUUUCCUUACAACCUUCGAAUUAUGUGGCUAUGUCUGAAAACUUAAUACUUCUACAGUUCUCGGGUCUUCAUACCAUUCCAAUUUGUGUUAGCUAAUAAACAAGUCAGGCUAUGUCUGAAACCAGUAUCUAAUAGUUCUCCGCCCAACAAGGAACUGUGCAACAUAAAAACAAAUCUUAAACAAGUUACAUGUUCUGAAUUUUAGAAACUCAAACUCCACUCUAAGGGCUAACCGGCUAACCGAACAUGUUAUAGAACAAACUCAGUCCUAAAUUGUAGACAUAUUGGAAUUCUGCGUAUGUUUUUUCCAACCUAUCUUCAAACUAUACAAGAAUUAUUAUCUAAUAUAAACAAUACAUUGACAAUAAUGUACACAAAAAUCCAUGUAUUUAAUGUGUGGACAUGGUAUCAUCAUGUCUGACUAACCCUUUUUUACUUUCAUUGAAUGAAGUUCGUACAUGUAUUUGAGGUAUUUUUUAUUUUCUUCCUACUAUAAGCCUUGCUUAGAUACUGAUCUAAGAUCAUCUCCAAGGGACAGACAAAAAAUCCUAGAGGUUCUCACAUAAGUACGGUUUAGAGAAGGGAUAAACCGAGGAAAGCCUCCCCCACAAAUACAGAAAGGCUGCCUCGAACCUAUGAUUUGGUGACUCAGUGAAACAAACAACUCUCACUACUGCACUAGGCCUGCCAUUGUUUACGAGCAUCCCCAAGGGCCUUACUUAAAUUCACUCUCUAAAUUUUAAUUUGGUGAGCCAUUUUAAUAAAAAUAUGUUUGAUAGGUUUUUUAUCUUCUAACAAUUUUUAUGUAUCUUGUACGCACUCUAGAGAACCAACCCACUCACUGCUCUUUAUUUACUGCAUGCUAUUUAGGUCUGCUAAGCAAAAAAUGAUAUUCUUUCUCAAUCUUUUGUCAUGUUUAGAUAAAUUUGGUGGUUUUAGGAUAAAGUUUGUGAAGGGCUUCACUUUUUUUUUCUAUAAUUAGAAUUUAACUCAAAAGUUUUCCCUUGAAAUUCAAGUUGAUUUUGAGAAGUAUGAAGGGAUGAUUAAGGUCAUGGAGAAGGUGGUAAUACAGUUAAUUCUAUGGAGCUCACUGGAGGAGCACUACCUUUUGCCAGUUGCUUGCAAGAAUGUAAUUGGAAUCCGAUGUGCUUCAUGGCGCAUCGUAUCCUCCAUUGAGUAUAGGGAAUAAGGUUGUGUCAACAUGGACCGUGCCACUCUCAUCGAGGGCUACCAUAACAAGAUUGAAGUUGAACUCAACAAGAUCUGCGUUGGAAUCCUCAAGCUCUUUGCUUCCCACCUUCCCCCCUCAUUAAUAGUUCCAAAGUCCAAGGUCUUCUACCUCAAGAUGAAGGGUGAUUACUACAGGAUAUUGCUUUGGAGGAGUUGGCCCCCUUAUCCUAUUAGGCUUUGGCUGAUGCUUAACCUCUCAACUCUCCUGAUCUUGCUCGUGGUCUCCCCAAACAGAUUGACACGGUGGGAGGAAAAAGACAAUGGUCAGCAACUUACUCGGAGCAGAAAUUUUUUAAUUGUGGUACCCGUGGUGCUAAAACAAUUAUAGAGGGCAGAAGACACACGCACGUACGUCAAAGAGGAAGCACGCAUCAAUCAGAUCGAUCGGUCAUCAGGUCGGCAAUGAGUAAGACAUCGACGACCGGCUGACGCAGCGUAACCGUACCAGUCAAAGAUGGCAAUGGAUUGGGUGCAUGCAUGAUCAGAGCCUGGACCUCACCUGGAGGUGGGAGCAAGAAACCAAUCCACUCGGCACUUCCAUAUUACGGGAGCGGAGCCCAGCCCAACGAAGCGGUCCUCAUGGGCUUUCGCUCUCGCGUUACGGGCAUGUUGAUUGCACGAGGCCCACAGCGCUCGAGCAUGGGCCCUCAACCACCAGCCAGCUCUCCCGCUCCCAGAGUCCCAGACUCCCAGUGACCUGAAUUCGAUUGACGCCGACCAUCGCCAUCCUUCCCAGGUACGUACUCGUACACCGCCACGUCCAUCGCUGUUCUCCCCGCCGACCCACGGCAUCCGCAGCGACGCCGACGCGUGGCCCCCGUCCAGAUCACAAGACCCAUUCAGAUUCUUCAGGUGAAUUGAGACCGUGAGAGGUUAGACAGACAGGUAGCGCAUACGGUACUGUACGUACACGGUAUACCAUGACAAAAACAAACGCCAGUGACCUUCCUGUUCCUUACUGGCGGCGAACAAGACGACGGUGCGGUGACACGAUGGUUGCCGGAGUUCCGGUUUGUCCCAACCUCCAGAUGUCCAUGCCACGACAAUUGAUUGACUUGAACCUCCCGACGCCCUGAGUCUAUAAUUGGGAGUAUCAUGUCGUGGGUUCUAGGUUCUACGUGCCCUUAUCUUAAUGUGUGUGUCAUUUCAUUUCCCAUUGUUGAUCCGCGAGCGGAGUGGAUAUCUGUGUUCAACUAGUGCUAUUAGGUAGGAAUAUUUGAAGCGAUCAAGUAUUACACAUUGUUUGUGAUGGCCAUAAAGCUAUUCUCAAUAAUAGUUUUAUGGUAAUUUCAUGCAUAUUUAAUAGUGUGACACGUCAUAUGUUUUAUGACAUGGCAUACCAUUUAAUAGAUUGAGUUUUAUUAGAUGAAACUAGUUUUGUGGAGAUAGAAUCAUGUCAACCCGUUUUCAAGGUCUUGAAAACCGUGUGAAAUCUUCAUUGAGAAUGGUUUGUUUUAUCUUCA